GCCUAGCUGGCUCGGUCAGUACAGCAUGAGACUCUUGAUCUUGGGGUUAUGAGUUCAAGCCCCACGUUGGGCA
rnacentral:tRNA from 1 species